AACGAACGCUGGCGGCGUGCCUAACACAUGCAAGUCGAGCGCGAAAAGGGCAACCUGAGUAGAGCGGCGCACGGGUGCGUAACACGUGGGUAAUCUGCCUUAGAGUCGAGGAUAACCUUCCGAAAGGUUGGCUAAUACUCGGUAAGCUUACGGUGUCUUCGGACGCUGUGGGAAAAGUAGGCCUCUGUUUACAAGCUUACGCUCUGAGAUGAGCCCGCGGCCCAUCAGCUAGUUGGCGGUGUAACGGACCACCAAGGCAACGACGGGUAGCUGGGCUGAGAGGACGAUCAGCCACACUGGAACGGAGACACGGUCCAGACUCCUACGGGAGGCAGCAGUGGGGAAUUUUCCACAAUGGGCGAAAGCCUGAUGGAGCAACGCAGCGUGUGUGAUGAAGGUUUUCGGAUCGUAAAGCACUUUCGACCGGGACGAAAAACCUCUGGCUAACAUCCAGGGGCCUGACGGUACCGGGAGAAGAAGCACCGGCUAACUCUGUGCCAGCAGCCGCGGUAA
rnacentral:rRNA from 1 species